GACAAACAGAAAACAAAGCGAAGGUGUAUAGCAGAAUAGCGGAGAAAUUAUUAGAUUAUUUGGAAAGUAUAGUAGAAUAGUUAGUAGAGAUUGAAAUUGAUUUGAUUAGAUAGGGAUUAUUGAGUGACUGGCACAGAUUGUCAGCCGAAGCAUUGCCGUCACGUAUUUGAAUUCAAAGAUAGAAGACCGAAAAAUUUUAAAGCUGCUUCGCAACCACAAAAAGAGUUUUUAACUCGCACUGCGAUCAGCUCGGAAAAUCGGCCAUUGUUCUCGCUAACA